UACGUAGGGUGCGAGCGUUAAUCGGAAUUACUGGGCGUAAAGCGUGCGCAGGCGGUCUGUUAAGACCGAUGUGAAAUCCCCGGGCUUAACCUGGGAACUGCAUUGGUGACUGGCAGGCUUUGAGUGUGGCAGAGGGAGGUAGAAUUCCACGUGUAGCAGUAAAAUGCGUAGAGAUGUGGAGGAAUACCGAUGGCGAAGGCAGCCUCCUGGGCCAACACUGACGCUCAUGCACGAAAGCGUGGGGAGCAAACAGG
rnacentral:rRNA from 1 species